CCUACGGGUGGCAGCAGUGGGGAAUAUUGCACAAUGGGGGAAACCCUGAUGCAGCGACGCCGCGUGAGUGAAGAAGUAUCUCGGUAUGUAAAGCUCUAUCAGUAGGGAAGAAAAUGACGGUACCUGAUUAAGAAGCCCUGGCUAACUACGUGCCAGCUGCCGCGGUAAUACGGAGGGGGCAAGCGUGAUCCGGAUUUACUGGGUGUAAAGGGAGCGUAGAGGGCAUCACAAGUCCGCAGUGAAAUGGCGGGGCUUAACCCCGGAACUGCUUUGGAAACUGUGCAACUAGAGUGCAGGAGAGGUAAGCGGAAUUCCUAGUGUAGCGGUGAAAUGCAUAGAUAUUAGGAGGAACACCAGUGGCGAAGGCGGCUUACUGGACUGUAACUGACGUUGAGGCUCGAAAGCGUGGGGAGCAAACAGGAUUAGAUACCCGAGUAGUC
rnacentral:rRNA from 1 species